UACGGGGGGGGCAAGCGUUGUUCGGAAUUACUGGGCGUAAAGGGCUCGUAGGCGGCCAGCUAAGUCAGACGUGAAAUCCCUCGGCUUAACCGGGGAACUGCGUCUGAUACUGGAUGGCUUGAGUGUGGGAGAGGGAUGCGGAAUUCCAGGUGUAGCGGUGAAAUGCGUAGAUAUCUGGAGGAACACCGGUGGCGAAGGCGGCAUCCUGGACCAUUACUGACGCUGAUGAGCGAAAGCCAGGGGAGCAAACGGG
rnacentral:rRNA from 1 species